rnacentral:rRNA from 1 species
GGAUCGGGAUAACACUUCGAAAGGGGUGCUAAUACCUCAUAAGACCACGGGAUCUUUGGAUCCUGAGGUAAAAGGUGGCCUCUAUUUAUAAGCUAUCACUUAGAGAUGAGUCCGCGCACCAUUAGCUAGUUGGCAGGGUAACGGCCUACCAAGGCAAAGAUGGUUAGCUGGUCUGAGAGGACGACCAGCGACACUGGAACUGAGACACGGUCCAGACUCCUACGGGAGGCAGCAGUGGGGAAUCUUGGACAAUGGGCGAAAGCCUGAUCCAGCAACGCCGCGUGAGUGAUGAAGGCCUUCGGGUUGUAAAGCUCUGUCGGAUGGAGCGAAUAAGGGCCACCUAAUACGUGGCCCGAUGACGGUACCAUCAAAGGAAGCACCGGCUAACUCUGUGCCAGCAGCCGCGGUAAGACAGAGGGUGCAAGCGUUGUUCGGAAUCACUGGGCGUAAAGGGCGUGUAGGCGGCGAAGUAUGUCCGACGUGAAAACCCUCGGCUUAACCGGGGAAUGGCAUCGGAAACUACUUUGCUUGAGUGCGAGAGAGGGUGGCGGAAUUUCCAGUGUAGAGGUGAAAUUCGUAGAUACUGGAAGGAACACCAGAGGCGAAGGCGGCCACCUGGCUCGUUACUGACGCUGAGACGCGAAAGCGUGGGUAGCAAACAGGAUUAGAUACCCU